AGAGGAGAGGAGAGGAGAGGAGAGGAGAGGAGAGGAGAGUCUUGCUAUGGGGGACUGUUUCACUGGAGAACCGUAAGAACUCUACAAGUAGGCAAAAUACAAACGCGCAGGAGAAAGACAUCUGAGAACACUUAGCUGGCCUCACUGAUAGAAAUGAUUGUGGGGAGAGGGGUUAAAUAGAUCCCAGAGAACAAGGAAAGAUGUGGAACGUUACUUGGGUAAUUGGAGUGCUGGGUAGCAAAUACUGGAGGCAAAUCCACGUCUCCUAAGAGACCUGGCGACGUCUGGGGAAUGCAGUCCCUGCUUUAGCAUUGCUCUUUUUAAAAAGUAAGGCAGCUGGAAAGCAUCAGGCAGCGAAGAAGGGACAGAUUUGGUGACACAGCUUCUGAGGGGGUACGGGAGAAGGAGGAGCACACGGAAGGGAGAUGGACUCCCUGCAUGUAACUCACCCCGCUGAGAAGGAGAGCCGCAGCCUUCUCCACGCAGACAAAAGAUGGCGAAGAGCCCGUGGUACCAAGCUGAACAGCAGCAGGCACCGAGGGACAAGGUCUCUGUGGCCACUUCUCCAGCCCAGCCACAGCUCUUCCCUCUCUGCAGGUCCAGCACGACCAACAAGAGCAAUGCAAAGUUUCAAUGGAGGAUCCAGCACUAACCUAACACCAAAACAAUCCAGGUGUGUGUCUUCAGCAGCAUGAGACUGAGAUGCCCUCCCCCUCCAACAGCAUGGCCACUAAAAUACACAGUUCAGCCAGGAUUUUCUGCGGGUCACAUCACGCUCCAGGAGAUGCAAGUUGUUGACUUCCAUAUCAGCUUUCCUUCAUGGUAGGCAUGUCUCCCAGCUGGUCAUACACCAACAAGGAACUUCUUGAAAGAAUGGGAACCUAAACAUUUUCUCAGCCACCUGCAAAAUGCCACUUGAAAUGGCUCGUUAGUGAAAAGGCCACCUUUGCUGUUAACUUGGUGACAAGGAACUGGCAAGAGAGUUAAUUCGGAAGCAAUGCGUAUCAACCUUUGGAGCUGCCUUUGAAUCACUUGAAGGAUGGGUGAGCAGUGAUCUUCCAGCAUGCUGUCAGCCUGUUCACAUCUCAGAAAUACUUUCUGGCACACCCAGGAAAAUAAACCAGGUUUCUGGCAGCGCA
rnacentral:lncRNA from 1 species